rnacentral:lncRNA from 1 species
UGUUUUGGGGGGAUGGACCUUCUCGUUUUACAGCCUUGAAGGUUAUGUCCAGAGUCAUAGCCUGGGUCCCACACCCCCGCGUCACCUGUGCCUGUCCUAGGGGGCAGUCAGUGUGCGUGAGGCUCCACCCUGCCUGGGCUUUGGCUCACCUAAGGCGAGGAGGGUGGUGAACUGGGGUGCCCCACUGGGCCGGGUCUGGGAGCCCUCAGCGCCAGGGUGCAGAGGCCGCAGCCACUCCCCUUCUAGGGUCUGGGCGGUGGGGGCAUGAGAAGGCGGAGACCCAGGCCACUUCACCCAGUAACUGUCCUCAGCUGUGCGCUUAACUGGCGAGAUCUCCGCUCUACUUGGAGACAGUCUGGGGUGUCUGGAGAAUCCUCCCCCACUUCUGCUUACCCCAGGUCGCUGUGGGAGCAGGUGUCUCAGGAAAUGGGGCCUGGGUCCCACCCAAGGCCUCGGGUCUGAGUUAGAUGUCUGUAUGUUUGUUGUUGCCCCUGCAACAAAGUACCACAGAUUGAGUAGUUUAAGCCACAUGCAUGUUAUCUCACAGUUCGGGGGGUCGGGAAUCUAAACUGGGUUGGCAGGGCCUGUGCCUUCUGGAGGCAAGGGAGCUGUUUCCCAGCGUUUCCAGCUCCUAGAGGCUGCUAGCUAGUGGCCCUUUCCUUUGUCUUCAAAGCCGGCAGCACAGCCUUUUCUAACCUCUCCCACUCCAGGUCAUUUCACAUCAACUCUUUCUGCCUCCCUCUUGUAAGUGUGAUACCCUACCUUGUUUUAACCUGAAUUGACUGUCCCUUAGCUGAGAGAGCCAGACACACUCCAUUUUGGCUCCUUCACUUGCAGCCCCUUACCCACCCCCCUUCCUCAAGGACUUAACUUGUGCAAGCUGACUCCCAGCACAUCAAAGAAUGCAAUUAAUGGAUAAGAUACUGUGGCAAGCUAUAUCCGCAGUUCCCAGGAAUUUGCCCAGUUGAUAGUACCCUAAGCCCCCACAUUUGUGUCCGGUUGAUGGUACCCAAAGCCCCCGCAUCUAUCGCCUUGUGAUGGAUUUAAAACCCCUGCACCUGGAACUGUUUGUUUUCCUGUAACCAUUUGUCUUUUAACUUUUUGCCUGUUUUGCUUCUGUAAGAGUGCUUCAGCUAGGCUCCUCCUCCCCUUUCUAAACCAAAGUAUAAAAGAAAAUCUAGCCCUUUCUUCAGGGCCGAG